rnacentral:rRNA from 1 species
UACAGAGGGUGCGAGCGUUGUCCGGAAUUACUGGGCGUAAAGGGCGCGUAGGCGGCCCGAUAAGUCGGGGGUGAAAGUCAGCGGCUCAACCGCUGGACUGCCUUCGAGACUGUUAGGCUUGAGCAUGGUAGAGGCUGGCGGAAUUCCCGGUGUAGCGGUGGAAUGCGUAGAGAUCGGGAAGAACAUCGGUGGCGAAGGCGGCCAGCUGGGCCAUUGCUGACGCUGAGGCGCGAAAGCUAGGGGAGCGAACAGG